rnacentral:rRNA from 1 species
GAUGAACGCUGGCGGCGUGCCUAAUACAUGCAAGUCGAGCGAACAGACGAGGAGCUUGCUCCUCUGACGUUAGCGGCGGACGGGUGAGUAACACGUGGAUAACCUACCUAUAAGACUGGGAUAACUUCGGGAAACCUGAGCUAAUACCGGAUAACAUGUUGAACCGCAUGGUUCAACAGUGAAAGACGGUCUUGCUGUCACUUAUAGAUGUAUCCGCGCCGCAUUAGCUAGUUGGUAAGGUAACGGCUUACCAAGGCAACGAUGCGUAGCCGACCUGAGAGGGUGAUCGGCCACACUGGAACUGAGACACGGUCCAGACUCCUACGGGAGGCAGCAGUAGGGAAUCUUCCGCAAAGGGCGAAAGCCUGACGGAGCAAUGCCGCGUGAGUGAAGAAGGUCUUCGGAUCGUAAAACUCUGUUAUUAGGGAAGAACAAAUGUGUAAGUAACUCUGCACGUCUUGACGGUACCUAAUCAGAAAGCCACGGCUAACUACGUG